ACUCCUACGGGAGGCAGCAGUGGGGAAUAUUGCACAAUGGGGGAAACCCUGAUGCAGCCAUGCCGCGUGUGUGAAGAAGGCCUUCGGGUUGUAAAGCACUUUCAGUAGGGAGGAAGGUAGUGUAGUUAACACCUGCAUUAUUUGUACGUUACCUACAGAAGAAGCACCGGCUAACUCCGUGCCAGCAGCCGCGGUAAUACGGAGGGUGCGAGCGUUAAUCGGAAUUACUGGGCGUAAAGCGCAUGCAGGCGGCCUGUUAAGUCAGAUGUGAAAGCCCGGGGCUUAACCUCGGAAUUGCAUUUGAAACUGGCAGGCUAGAGUCUUGUAGAGGGGUUAGAAUUUCGAGGUGUAGCGGUGAAAUGCGUAGAGAUCUGAAGGAAUACCAGUGCGAAGCGGCCCCUGGAC
rnacentral:rRNA from 1 species